UUUUCGUAAAUUAAAGUAAUCUUUUACAAAAAUCUUCUCCUCUGAAACUACUGGGCCAAACUAAUCCAAACUUGGCCACAAUCAUCUUUGGGGUAUCUAGUUUAAAAAAAUGUGUGGCAUGACUUGGUCAACCAACUAAGAUGGCCGCCACGGCUAAAAAUAGAACAUAGGGGUAAAAUGCAGUUUUUGGCUUAUAACUAUGAAACCAAAGCAUUUAGAGCAAAUCUGACAAGAAGUUAAAUUGUUAAUCAAGUCAAUAUCUAUCUGCCCUGAAUUUUUCAGAUGAAUUGGACAACUGGUUGUUGGGUUGAUGCCCUCCAAAUGGUAAUUUUUAAAGAAAUUUUGCCGUUUUUGGUUAUCUUGAAUACUAUUAUAGAUAGCGAUAAACUGUAAACAGCAAUAAUGUUCAGC
rnacentral:lncRNA from 1 species